rnacentral:tRNA from 1 species
GGAGGGGUACCGAAGUGGCCAUAACGGCGCUGACUCGAAAUCAGAUGGUCGGGGUAACCUGACACGUGGGUUCGAAUCCCACCUCCUCCGCCA